GUCGUGCAGGCUGAUCUGCGAUCCACCAUCAUCAACCUGUUGGACCCCUCCCCUGAAGAAUCUGCUCUCAUCAACAAACUAGACUUUGCCAUCUCGACAUACCUACUGUCUGUCUACAGGCUGGAGUACAUGAGGUGUGCUACCCGCUAUAGAUCUAUAUCUGCUGCUGCUGCUCUAUUACCCAUGUCCACCUACAUACUGUCUGUAUACAGACCAGGGCCCAUAUGUAUCAAGCGUCUCAGAAUAGGAGUGCUGAUAUGGGAUCAGUUUGGGCUUUUGGAUCAUUAUACACAUUGAUUGUAUGGAAAAGCAAGGACUUGAGCCUAGAUCAGCACUCUCACAGUGAGACGCUUUAUACAUACAGCCUCAGAUCGCAUGAGGUUGGAGCAGACCCUAUUUAUCCUCUCCUGGUUUAUAUUCCCCAACAUUAGGGGACUCAUAUUAGUCUCUUUCUCUCUGGUUCUGUCUCAGGAUGUUGCGUUCUAACGACGCAGACAUUUUCCUGGUGAUGUUCCUCUACUUUGAAGACAAAACCAUCCAGAAGGACAAAUCUGGUGGGCGUAAUGUUGUAUCUGCGUUGUAAUAUUGGUUGUAUUUAUGUAUUUUUUUGUUUCUGAUUCAACGUUUCAUCAUGUAUGAUGCAGUGUGUGAUCUGUGUCAGUGAUAAAAUCUUCGAUGUCUUCCUCCAAAUGAUGGCUGAGAAGUCCAAGACAAUAGAACACGAGGAGAAGUUGGAACCCCACACCCAGUUCCUAUUGGUCAACUUUAACCACACCCACAAGAGGAUCCGCCGAGUGGCCGAUAAAUACCUCUCUGGAUUGGCUGAAAUGCCAGGGAGAUUGAACGGUUGACUACAUGGUACAACCCACUGUCCACGCCGGAGUGGCCAUCACUACAGAACAGUCCGUAGAGACCAGCAUCGCCAACUGGAGGUCCAAGUACAUCAGCCUGAGUCAGAAACAAUGGAAAGACCAUAUCAACCUGGCCUGGAGUAUAGCUCCUUAUUUGGCCCUGAAGCUGCCUGUAAGGUUUAAGAACACUGAGGCCAUUGUAGCGGAGGUGACUUGUCUGGCGCGUUUGGACCUAACAGCUGUGUGUGACGUACCUGAGGACGUCAAGGAUGCCAUCUUGUUCUUCACUCCUCAAAUAGUUCAAGCCCUCCGCUAUCACAAGGUAAACACAUAAUUUGCGUGUGUGCAUGUUUGUGCUUGUGCGCACGUGUAUGUGUGUGUGCUUGUGCUCGUGUGUGUAGUUCCAGGUGCGUUACGUGUGUGUUCUAGAUGGGCUAUGUGAGGGAGUACAUCCUGUGGGCGGCUCAAAGUCUCAGCGGCUUUGUCACCAGUUAAUCUGGAACAUGAAGACCAACAUCUACCUAGACGAGGAGGGACACCAGAAAGACCCUGACAAAGGGGAAUUAUUCGAACAGAUGGUCGAGGUGCUCUAACCGGUGCUCUCACUGGUGCUCUAACCGGUCCCGCUAAAGAUUUUUACCAGAGAGAGUUUGACUUCUUCAAUAAGAUCACCAACGUAUCUGCCAAUAUCAAGCCCAUCCCUAAGGGAGACGAGAGGAAGAGAGCCUGUCUGAGGGCUCUGUCGGACAUCCAGGUCCAGCCAGGCUGUUACCUACCCAGUAACGCAGAGGCCAUAGUACUGGACAUAGACUACACGUCUGGGACUCCAAUGCAGAGUGUUGCCAAAGCUCCGGACCUGGCCAAAGUCAAUAGGUAUGGAGUCAGUGAGCUGGAGAAAGAAGGUCUGCAGCGUAGGUCAGACUCCCUGGACAGUGAGGCUGACGGUGAGGAGGAGGUCUAGAGUAUCUGCUGGCAGGUAGCCAUCUUUAAAGUGGGCAAUGACUGCAGACAGUACCCCCCCUUCUAGGAGCGGCUCCAGCCGCGGAGCCAGGGUGACCACCACGUAGUUGGUUGAAGUCCCGAACAAGUUCCGGAUCCAGGAUGUCUCGGGCAGACACCCACGCCCACUCCUUGGGACCGUAGCCCUCCCAGUCCAUCAGGUAGUGCAGGGUUCCUUGGACCCGACGAGCUUCCAACAGAUGCUGGACAGUGUAGGCUGGGCGACCAUCAACAAGUCGAGGAGGCGGAGGGGCAGGUAUGGGGGAGAGAAGGGACUGGUCCUUACCAGCUUGAGACGGGAGACAUUGAAGGAUGGACAGACCCUCAUACACCUGGGAAGCUGGAAACGAUAGAUGACCGGGUUGAUGCGUCUCAGGAUCUUGAAUGGUCUUAUCGAGACGAUUCAAGGCAUCGACUCACUGAUGGGUGAAGAUGAUGAGCGAUCAGCAGAGGCAAUCAACAUCGCUCUAAUCACAGUUGACAGUCAGAAGACAGUUGAAGAAAUGUGGGCCCAUGUGCACCUUCAUCAAGUGAACCACAACAUGUAGGCAAAAGCGAUUUAAUUCAUGAAUCAUUUGAACGUUUUUAAUAUUGUGAUAGUGAAGAGCAAAACUAAUCUUAACAUUUACAAAUAAAAAUCUGAUUGAUUUAUCAAGACCAGUCCCCAUGCUAUGUCAUUCAGUGAUAUU